AAAUUUCCUAACACACCAAGAGUAAAUGUGUGAAAUUUUCUUGCUCAGUAGCUGAGGGAACUCACAGCCAUGGUAAGAAUGAAAGUUAGGACCAGAGAAGAGCACCACAAAUUCAACAUGCAGAAAUGUAAUGAAGAUGAGGCAGAUUCUCAAAGACGUGUCUUUUGAGGCUGGUCAGAUGGUUGUUAUUCACACUGAGUCUGGGUUGCAGCAACAGAAGGGACCUAAGUUCAAAUGAAUAUGAACUAUAGGGAUUUUUAACACGGACUUCAGGAUGAUCAGGACUGAAUGUUGGAUAUAACUCUAAACCAUGCAAGUUGGUAAGAAUGUCUCUAUUAGAAUGAGAGGAAGAUCAAACCACACUUACCUAUUUUUGUUAUUAAGUUUCCAGCAAAGUUGACCUCUUGCAGAUUCUGCAGAGUAUGUAAGCCCUGUGAAUGUUUUAAACAAUACAGUUUUAAUCUAAUAUAGCACUGCAAAUGCUGAAGAGCCUGGAGGCUAAGAGGCAGAUCAUUCAAAUGUAAAAAUAAAUUUGACUGGAGUCUAAACAAUGUUAGCCUCUGUUGUAAACUACAGCUUUCUUUUGACAUGGAAAGAGAGUUGCACUUUGCCCAGAGGGAAAGAGCUUGGAAAGCCUUUGUAAAUGAUACUGCAAUGGAAAUAAAUGCGGUCCUCCAGCCUUAGAUUCACAGCUGUGUAUGAAAAGCUGAACAGAUCAUGCCUCGUGCCAUGAGUACUCAUUAGCUUUUGGCUGCAGCCCAUGUCUUGGCCUUGGGACAUUAAAGGAACUGAAUCAUUGAUGUCAAUCAUUUGUCUUCAUGAUGACACCGUGGUUCUUUGCAGAGAGGUGCCACUAAUAUUUGUAGUGUACUCACUAACAAAUGAUAACGUCUACCUGUACACGUUCUCUGUCAGCUUUACUUGAAGACACAGAUUUCAAACUAUUAAUAUGCCAUGCAUUGGACAAAUGAGGAGACAAGAAACUACAACAAAAAGAGCAGACUCACCUCUAUAGUUUUGA